UACCAGUGAUGCAAGAUAGAUAUUUGCUACUCUUGAUGAGUUUGAUACUCAUUUGAUGAUUCAUUAUCCACCAAGAUCUCUGAGGUU
rnacentral:snoRNA from 1 species